UAGUUCGAUUAUGGCUCAGGAUGAACGCUAGCGACAGGCUUAACACAUGCAAGUCGAGGGGCAGCACAGGUAGCAAUACCGGGUGGCGACCGGCGCACGGGUGAGUAACGCGUAUGCAACUUGCCUAUCAGAGGGGGAUAACCCGGCGAAAGUCGGACUAAUACCGCAUGAAGCAGGGGCCCCGCAUGGGGAUAUUUGCUAAAGAUUCAUCGCUGAUAGAUAGGCAUGCGUUCCAUUAGGCAGUUGGCGGGGUAACGGCCCACCAAACCGACGAUGGAUAGGGGUUCUGAGAGGAAGGUCCCCCACAUUGGUACUGAGACACGGACCAAACUCCUACGGGAGGCAGCAGUGAGGAAUAUUGGUCAAUGGGCGUAAGCCUGAACCAGCCAAGUCGCGUGAGGGAUGAAGGUUCUAUGGAUCGUAAACCUCUUUUAUAAGGGAAUAAAGUGCGGGACGUGUCCCGUUUUGUAUGUACCUUAUGAAUAAGGAUCGGCUAACUCCGUGCCAGCAGCCGCGGUAAUACGGAGGAUCCGAGCGUUAUCCGGAUUUAUUGGGUUUAAAGGGUGCGUAGGCGGCCUUUUAAGUCAGCGGUGAAAGUCUGUGGCUCAACCAUAGAAUUGCCGUUGAAACUGGGGGGCUUGAGUAUGUUUGAGGCAGGCGGAAUGCGUGGUGUAGCGGUGAAAUGCUUAGAUAUCACGCAGAACCCCGAUUGCGAAGGCAGCCUGCCAAGCCAUGACUGACGCUGAUGCACGAAAGCGUGGGGAUCAAACAGGAUUAGAUACCCUGGUAGUCCACGCAGUAAACGAUGAUCACUAGCUGUUUGCGAUACACAGUAAGCGGCACAGCGAAAGCGUUAAGUGAUCCACCUGGGGAGUACGCCGACAACGGUGAAACUCAAAGGAAUUGACGGGGGCCCGCACAAGCGGAGGAACAUGUGGUUUAAUUCGAUGAUACGCGAGGAACCUUACCCGGGUUUGAACGCAUUCGGACCGAGGUGGAAACACCUUUUCUAGCAAUAGCCGUUUGCGAGGUGCUGCAUGGUUGUCGUCAGCUCGUGCCGUGAGGUGUCGGCUUAAGUGCCAUAACGAGCGCAACCCUUGCCACUAGUUACUAACAGGUAAAGCUGAGGACUCUGGUGGGACUGCCAGCGUAAGCUGCGAGGAAGGCGGGGAUGACGUCAAAUCAGCACGGCCCUUACAUCCGGGGCGACACACGUGUUACAAUGGCGUGGACAAAGGGAUGCCACCUGGCGACAGGGAGCGAAUCCCCAAACCACGUCUCAGUUCGGAUCGGAGUCUGCAACCCGACUCCGUGAAGCUGGAUUCGCUAGUAAUCGCGCAUCAGCCAUGGCGCGGUGAAUACGUUCCCGGGCCUUGUACACACCGCCCGUCAAGCCAUGGGAGCCGGGGGUACCUGAAGUCCGUAACCGCGAGGAUCGGCCUAGGGUAAAACUGGUGACUGGGGCUAAGUCGUAACAAGGUACCC
rnacentral:rRNA from 1 species